rnacentral:lncRNA from 1 species
UCCACCAAGUUCUUUAAAAAUCAUAGUGAUACCAAUCCGUUUCUCAUGUUAUUGAAUGGAAGAUCACAACCAAAUCUAUACUAUGACUGUCCUUUGGUACGAUAUAAAAAAUUUGAGGACCUAAAGUGUUUUUCUGUAUGGGCUUGGGUUGCAUCUUUUGUACGUAAGAAUGAUUGAUCUUUUUUUGCAGUAUCAACCAUUGGAUUGCUCUUUGUACAGAUUUUAAAGCACUUCAAUCUAUUUCUUUAUCUAUUUGCGCA